GCCUCUUUAGCUCAGUGGUAGAGCACUGGUCUCGUAAACCAGGGGCCGUGAGUUCAAACCUCACAGGAGGCA
rnacentral:tRNA from 1 species